UAGGGAAUAUUGGACAAUGGGUGAGAGCCUGAUCCAGCCAUGCCGCGUGCAGGAAGAAGGCGUUAUGCGUUGUAAACUGCUUUUUGCCAGGGGAUAAAAAGACCGUGCGCGGUUAAUUGAAGGUACCUGGUGAAUAAGCCACGGCUAACUACGUGCCAGCAGCCGCGGUAAUACGUAGGUGGCAAGCGUUGUCCGGAUUUAUUGGGUUUAAAGGGUGCGUAGGUGGCCCUGUAAGUCAGUGGUGAAAUAUCUCAGCUUAACUGAGAGGGUGCCAUUGAUACUGCAGGGCUUGAGUACAGAUGAGGUAGGCGGAAUUGACGGUGUAGCGGUGAAAUGCAUAGAUAUCGUCAAGAACACAGAUAGCGAAGGCAGCUUACCAAGCUGUAACUGACACUGAGGCACGAAAGUGUGGGGAUCAAACAGGAUUAGAUACCCCUGUAGUCCCUGAGCGGGCUGGCAAGGCGCAU
rnacentral:rRNA from 1 species